AAAAUAAAUAGCUUGCUGAUGGAUUAGAUAAAUUGGAUUUUUAUAGAGUCCCAUCUAUUUCAAAGGUCUUUCUUUUCUCUCGCAGGUUGAUUGCCACUCCAGAACUGCUGCACCUGCUCCAGAGCACAGUCUUUAUUUUUAAUUCAUACAGCUACAUAUUCUGCAUUUCCCUCAGGCUAGUUGAACACUUCAUGCUCCAACUUCAUCUGAAAAAUUGCUUUACGUCUCCUGGAAGUGAGGGAAAUCCAUUUUCUGUCAAGACCAGAGAGAAUCUGCUCUCUGAAGGUAAAGGGCAGAGCUUAAAUGAAGUGACUGUAUUGGUUGUCCUGUACAGCUGUAGUGACCUGCCACCAUCCUGUGUGUGAUU
rnacentral:lncRNA from 1 species